rnacentral:rRNA from 1 species
UAAGCAUAUCAAUAAGCGGAGGAAAAGAAACUAACAAGGAUUCCCCUAGUAACUGCGAGUGAAGCGGGAAAAGCUCAAAUUUAAAAUCUGGCAGUCUUUGGCUGUCCGAGUUGUAAUCUAGAGAAGUGUUAUCCGCGCUGGACCGUGUACAAGUCUCCUGGAAUGGAGCGUCAUAGAGGGUGAGAAUCCCGUCUUUGACACGGACUGCCAGGGCUUUUGUGAUGCGCUCUCAAAGAGUCGAGUUGUUUGGGAAUGCAGCUCAAAAUGGGUGGUAAAUUCCAUCUAAAGCUAAAUAUUGGCGAGAGACCGAUAGCGAACAAGUACCGUGAGGGAAAGAUGAAAAGAACUUUGGAAAGAGAGUUAAACAGUACGUGAAAUUGCUGAAAGGGAAACGCUUGAAGUCAGUCGCGUUGUCCAGGGAUCAACCUUGCUUUUGCUUGGUGUAUUUUCUGGUUUGACGGGUCAGCAUCAAUUUUGACCAUUGGAAAAAGGUCAGGGGAAUGUGGCAUCUUCGGAUGUGUUUAUAGCCCUUGGUUGCAUACAAUGGUUGGGAUUGAGGAACUCAGCACGCCGCAAGGCCGGGUUUUUUAACCACGUACGUGCUUAGGAUGCUGGCAUAAUGGCUUUAAUCGACCCGUCUUGAAACACGGACCAAGGAGUCUAACAUGCCUGCGAGUGUUUGGGUGGAAAACCCGAGCGCGCAAUGAAAGUGAAAGUUGAGAUCCCUGUCGCGGGGAGCAUCGACGCCCGGACCAGACCUUUUGUGACGGUUCCGCGGUAGAGCAUGUAUGUUGGGACCCGAAAGAUGGUGAACUAUGCCUGAAUAGGGUGAAGCCAGAGGAAACUCUGGUGGAGGCUCGUAGCGAUUCUGACGUGCAAAUCGAUCGUCAAAUUUGGGUAUAGGGGCGAAAGACUAAUCGAACCAUCUAGUAAGCUGGUUCCUGCCGA